AUCUGACCAGCAUCUACAGCACUCGUCGUGUCGUCCCUCGAGCAAAGGGAAACAAACAGUUCAGGCACUACUGGUAACGCACAUACCGACGAAGUCGGUCGUUUGCUUGUGCGGCACAUGCUUGGCGCGCCACGCACUGGCGGGCUGGGACGGCUGCAGCCAGCGUAGGCGCUUAAGGCUUCACGUUUCCUUGGAACCCAUCUCGGUGCGAUUCAGGUGGUCCUAGCAGAGUGCCAGUCCUACUGUGUGGCUUAAUGACGGGCGAACGGUAAAUUUGCAUCUGCCUUCCUUUGGCAGGCGGGGCCAAGAGCGCCUGGCGGAGCAGCAGCUGACGGAGUAUGCCACCGGUAGUAAACUGGGUGAAAUUUGCAAGUAUACUUGAAGUAAAGUGUAGCAGAUCACGUCCGUUAAACUGUCGAGGUAACUUCACACCUACCUACCAUUUCUCCCAGGACCUGGUUCCCUGUAAGUUGCAAUCUUCUUGAAUGAGGAUCAAAGUUGGCAACUUCAUGACGAAACAAAAGACGCAUGGCGUUUCCUUGGCAGAACGUGAGCUCGUGAUAUGGCCUCCGACCCCAACGGGCUGACCGCCUGCAUCUUUCACCCACAAUCGUUCGAUAAUUUCCGUUUAGAGCGUCCUUCGUUCACAAGGUUAAAGCCUGCAGUGGGUUACCAAAUUGUGUUAUCGAAAGCCAAAAUAUCUUAGUCGUACGGACAGCAUAGUAACACGCAAGUUACGAAGAUGGUGAAUAAAUAUUUUUGCUGAGUGUUCACAUUUUAUUGUGUUACUUUGUCUUGUCUGUCAAGUGAGCUUGUCAUUCUGCAUAAUUGAAGUAAUUCUCGCAAGGCCCCCGAGGUCGUUUCGUUUUUUUCGUCACAAAGCCACAAAGCCGCUCCAUCGCCUUCGGAUCUAUUAUAAAUGAAGAAGUGUGCGCUUCUAACUGUUAGCGAGCAAUAGUCAACUGCAGCUUGCCCACGGUCCUAGCUGUAGCUGCAUCGCUUUCUUAGGAAUUCCUAGGACACGAGGCCGCGAACGACAUCCUGGCCUAAAGCUCUUGUUUCUAACUCAUUGCGGAGACGGAAGUCAUUUGUUAAACCCUACUGUUGCGCUAGGGCAGGUAUGUAAGCAUGUAUGCGCGGCAGUAAAAUCAAGUAAAAUGUCAAAUUUCGGAUGGUAAAGGCAUGGCGCCUUGUCUCUUUUCGGGGCCUGCUGGCCUGCUGGCCGCUUGCCCCGGCACUCAAGAGUAGGUCUCUUAAUGGCCUGGCUGUCGUCAUGUCAUGAUUCCGUAUCCUUUGUUGCUCCCGACUGUAUACGUAGGUCUUUCUUGUUUCGGACCGCUGCCAUGGCGCUCUUUUCGCAUUUGUAGCUUAGAUGCGGCAGGAGCAAAGCGAGUAUAGCCUCUAAGCU
rnacentral:lncRNA from 1 species